UAUUAGGGAGCUGGUACAAGCACAGAGGAGAGAGGGCUCUGGACUCUGAAGCAUGCUGCCUUAUCUCGGGCGCUAAAGACUUCUCUGGAGAGCUGCUUGAGAUUCAGAUGCAAGAAAGGCUAAACAGAACGCUGGAGAUUAAAACUGAAAGGAUAUGGUCAUUUCUCUCUGGUUUCAUUGUGCCUUGACUAUCACACUGCAAGGAAGUCCAAGAUAGCACAGGACUCUCUGUACUGUACGUGCACUGGGAACCAGGCACUUUCCAUUAUAUACAUCAGUCACCACAUGCUGCAGUGAUUCCUUACAGCCGGUGCAGAUCCUUAAACACAACAGGGGAUGAAAAAGAAAUACGUCAGUUUUGAAAGCUGCCUCAUCACUGCCUGGGCAUGUGGGACACCUGUUAUUUUACCACAGCUUAUUUGAACUAAUGCUAAAUAAAACCUUGUUG